UUUGGAAUCUUCUUUUGACAUAAAGAUUCUACAAUCAUAGGUUUGAAGUGCAACAUUUGUAUCUCAAAGUUGAUCUUUUCAGUUUUCUAAGAAAUGCAUGCAGGUUUUCUUUGAGUGUGACUAAUCAAGCUAGUGAAUGAGAAUACUUCAUAUAAGCAUUUUGAACAGAGUGGACACGGCUGUAGAAGCAUGUCAUCUUUUGAUGGUUUUCAAUAGGAAAAUUUUUCUAGAAAAAGCCAGGACAAUAGUAGGAGAGUGCACUUGAAGUCAAGGGAUAAUGUUCAAGACAGCCCUAAGUUUGAAAAGGUUCUUUCACCAAGAAGAUUAGCUGGAGCUGAGUCUUCAAAGGUCUCAUUAACAGCCUAUGAGAGAGAUAAAGUUGUUUUAGGAACAAACCACAAUUCAAGCAGAAGCUGAUUGAGCCUCUUCCUAGUGCUAUGUACCACAGGAGGAAAGCUAAGGUAAGAAGAUGAAGGGGACGAGGGCCAAAAUGACAGGCUAUUGGGAGCUUCAUCACUAUAGUUGUUUUCUCUCGGGGGAUCAGGUCAAACUGAAAUGUUAGCUCCCUGUAUGCAUGCCUGAUGGAAUAAUAUGUGGUAUGAGAAGUUAUUCAUAUCCAUUUUCUUUUACAAUAUAAAUAAUUUGUACUAAUAUUUUUGUUGAGACCAGCAAGUCCUGGCCAAGAAAAAUUCAACCUCAAGACCAAGGAAGAGAAGAGGUUGCUUUUGAAGCCUGAUCAAUAAAUAAUGUGAGGUUCAAUGUCAAAUUCUCUCAUUCCUCCAAUUAACUGACAUCUCGAUCAGCAGCCUGCACCAGAGCAAGUGUUGAACCCAGCUGAACUCUUGGAAUGCCAAUCACAAAGACCAGAUGCAUGAAAGGCUGGAACAAGACCAGAUGCCAAUCAGAAAAAAGAUCAGAGAGCCAUUGAAAAUUCUGCAAGUUUCUCUGUGGAUCAGAUCUCGGCCUCAUAAUCAGACUCUUCCAUUGGCCUAGUCAUUGAUUCCCCAACUUAGUUUCAAGAAGUUUUGAGCUCGAGUUUUUGCAAAGAUGGUACCAAAGUUUUUCACUCAGGUAAUUCUCUACAAAAGAAAUCUGCAGAUUCCUGAUGUUGCAUGAAAUCUCUGGCUUUGAGCAGCCACCCUGAAUCAGAAUUUGGAUGCAGAAAAAUCUGAUGGCCUCUUAUCUGUUCCACAGGCAAUGCCUAAUGUCAACUGAAUCUCACUCUCAUCAUCAAGCCAUGAGUUAUGUGGGCAUUUAAGCUUGCUGCUGUUAUCCUUCAGCUGUUUCUUAAACAUGAGAGCUUGAUCUUGGAUGGUCCAUGCUUCUGUGAAAGUAAAUUCUUCAGCAGGCUGUUCAAGAUCGAGACCUUUGCUCACUCUACGAGGAUCUUCAUAGCAGAUCAUCAGUUCCUUUGCACUCCGACCUGACCAGUUACCAGAUGGAAGCAUGUAUCUGCAAUCAGAAUUAAUGUGAUCUGUGAACUGAUGUGCAUCACUAACACAAGAAGCAUGGCAAGUCUCUGAGGUAGAUAAACUGAUCCAAUCUGCUGUGCUUGUAACAGAAUUCAGCUUUCUUGAAGUUGCAUUGCUGUGGGAUUGGAGCUCAAACUUGCUGCUUCCAAGCUCAGCCAUAAUCAUCUUCUGAACUCGAUAUAGCCGAUGAAGUUCAUUUAUCUGAAACAAAUUACUGUGAGGAAUCUGAUCACUUGUAGUCAUUUGAUCAGAUGAAGCUGCAGCUUGGACAAUAGCUUACCUGAUGUCUGAAGAUCUCUUGAUGCUUCAUCAUGGUAUUCCUUACAUAGUCCCUAUUGUAAUGCUCAAGAAAUUCCUCCAUGAAUGAGCAAAGCUGCUUCAGACAACACCAGAGGCCUGCCUUCAGCAAUAUAUUGAUGUAGAUUCUGUGGCCACUACAUUACAGCAGUUCUUGAACACAGAUGCCAUGCAGUUUUGAUCCCA